rnacentral:lncRNA from 1 species
CAAUAGGCUAAUUUGCAUUAUGCCGUUGCUUAAAAGCAAAUCCUAUUAUCACUUAUCACAAUUGCAGAAUGAAGCAUCUUUUUGAAGGAUGGAAUUCAAAACAGAGCUGAAGAGCUACAGUGAUGGUGAUGCUGGUGGUGGUGGAGAGUACUGACAGCUUUAAAUAUAUUAAAUUGGAAUGAUCUAUAUAUUCUGGAAAUAUAGUAAUGGUUGAAGUAAGAAACAGUUACUGGAAUCUGUG